GAUGAACGCUAGCGGCAGGCUUAAUACAUGCAAGUCGAGGGGCAGCAUAAGUAGCAAUACUUGAUGGCGACCGGCAAACGGGUGCGGAACACGUACGCAACCUUCCUUUAAGUGGGGAAUAGCCCGGGGAAACCCGGAUUAAUACCCCGUAAUAUUAUGAUGUGGCAUCACUUUAUAAUUAUAGAUUUAUCGCUUAAAGAUGGGCGUGCGCCUGAUUAGGUAGUUGGCGGGGUAACGGCCCACCAAGCCUGCGAUCAGUAACUGGUGUGAGAGCACGACCAGUCACACGGGCACUGAGACAUGGGCCCGACUCCUACGGGAGGCAGCAGUAAGGAAUAUUGGUCAAUGGACGCAAGUCUGAACCAGCCAUGCCGCGUGGA
rnacentral:rRNA from 1 species